rnacentral:rRNA from 1 species
UACGUAGGAUGCAAGCGUUGUCCGGAAUUAUUGGGCGUAAAGGGCGCGCAGGCGGCCCAUCAAGUCAGAUGUGAAAUAACCAGGCUUAACCUGGUGGGGUCAUUUGAAACUGGCGGGCUAGAGUCCAGCAGAGGAUAGCGGAAUUCCCGGUGUAGUGGUGAAAUGCGUAGAUAUCGGGAGGAACACCGAUGGCGAAGGCAGGUCUCUGGGCCGAUACUGACGCUGAGGAGCGAAAGCGUGGGGAGCGAACAGG